rnacentral:tRNA from 1 species
GCUAAGGUAGCUUAAUUAUUAAAGCGCUGCACUGAAGAUGCAGAGAUAACUUUGCGUUCCCCAGCA